CUUUAAACAUCCCUUAUUCUGCCUGUCUUUCUACUCAGCUGAGAGGCAGCAGCUACCUUCUCUUUUGCUCUCAACAUCCUUCAUUUAUUCUUUAAUUCAGGUAGGUGAACUGCCUCAACAUCCACUUGUUGCCUAGAAAGUUGGUGGUCAGGUCCGCCUUAGCUUUUGAAUCUGUUUCUUCCUCUCUGUGUAAAAAAAGAAGAAAAGAAAACAAUUGUGAGCCAGCAUGGCGAGUAUAGCCCGGCUUAGGUUCUCUUCUCUCUCAAAUGCACAUAAUGUUGCUGCAAACGUUCACUUUCCAAUCCAAACUUUUUCUCGUUCUUCUUUAAUCUUUUUCCCUCGUCCAUCUAACAACUCAAUCAAUGCUUGUUAUCCUGAAAAUCUAUCACUAUCUCCACUGCAACCCAAAUCUUCGAAGCACAAAUUUCCUGUGAAUGCAGAAUUAUCAACCGACUCUGAUGGAAGUGAUGGCAGUGGGAUCGGUAACCGUAACACAGA